rnacentral:rRNA from 1 species
UACGGAGGGUGCAAGCGUUAUCCGGAUUCACUGGGUUUAAAGGGUGCGUAGGUGGGCAGGUAAGUCAGUGGUGAAAUCUCUAAGCUUAACUUAGAAACUGCCGUUGAUACUAUCUGUCUUGAAUAUCGUGGAGGUGAGCGGAAUAUGUCAUGUAGCGGUGAAAUGCUUAGAUAUGACAUAGAACACCAAUUGCGAAGGCAGCUCGCUACACGGUUAUUGACACUGAGGCACGAAAGCGUGGGGAGCAAACAGG